UACGUAGGGGGCAAGCGUUGUCCGGAUUUAUUGGGCGUAAAGAGCGUGUAGGCGGCCUGAAAGGUCAGCUGUGAAAACUCGAGGCUCAACCUCGAGACGUCGGUUGAAACCAUCUGGCUAGAGUCCGGAAGAGGAGUGUGGAAUUCCCGGUGUAGCGGUGAAAUGCGCAGAUAUCGGGAAGAACACCCGUGGCGAAGGCGGCACUCUGGGACGGUACUGACGCUGAGACGCGAAAGCGUGGGGAGCGAACAGG
rnacentral:rRNA from 1 species